rnacentral:lncRNA from 1 species
GAGAUAGAGAGAGAGAUGCGUGCUGAGGGGGAACAGAGGGAGAGAGCAUCUCCAGCAGAGUCCGCACUGAACACAAAGCCUGAUUUGGGACUCAAUCCCAGGAUCCUGAGAUCACGACCUGAGCUGCAGUCAGGAGCUGGAAACUCCACUGACUGGGACUCCCAGGCAACAACCAUUCUGGAAUAA